AACAACUCUCAGCAACGGAUAUCUUGGCUCUGCAACGAUGAAGAACGCAGCGAAAUGCGAUACGUAGUGUGAAUUGCAGAAUUCCGCGAAUCAUCGA
rnacentral:rRNA from 1 species